UGUUAUGGCGAAGCUGGAGAGGGACAUCUUCGGAUGUGCAGGUUUUCUAACGAGCCUGUCUGUCAACCCUUUUCAGCUUUGCCACCAUU
rnacentral:antisense_RNA from 1 species